AUCCAAGCUAUAACAUAUUUAGCUCUACAGAGAGCAUCUUCUCCAUUCAGCCUUCUGACUGCCAGGGGAGCCACAAGCAGAGGUGAAUUUUCAGCAAGUAAAAGGUACAUAUUGGAAUCAUAAAAUGCUGAACUUGGUUGAGGCCGUGCCAGUUAGCAUUAGCACCAGGAGUGUCACCAUUCACAUCAUCAACAAAACCAACUACCACAUUCUGACCGACCCAAAGGAAUUCCUGAUAAGUGGUGGAACCCGCAUCAAUCCAACAUCCUCAAUCAAGCCCAUGGAGAGUCAAUUCUGCUCUUUCGUUAAAACGAAUCAAUCACUAAAAGGCAGCGUUGGUGUUCUGACCUAUUAACUUCACGCAAUGCAAAGUAACAUUUACAAAGAGAUCUUAGCCAUCAUGUUCUCUGUGCCCUAUGAUUACAACCUGUUCAGUAACUGGUUUGCUGUGGGCAUCUUUGGAAGUGUCUGUGCCUGUGACAACAAUCUGUUUGAUAAGAUGUACUAUAAUUAUUUGGAUAGGAGUUUUGCUAGGAGUAAGGCCGGCUCACAGAUCAACUAUGAGGGAAAGUUCCACAGUGUGAAGGCCAGUAUGUCUGACUAUGCCAGUGCCAUCCUCACGGUGGAGCUGUUGAAUAAUGUAGUCUGAAACACAUACUUCUCUUGAAGACCUCUGAGGUAUGAGGAAGUAUGGAAAUACCCAGAUCAAUGAAACACACCAGGCUAAUAUUUACUACUUAUAAUGUUAAUUGAUGCUUGAUGGCUCACAUUCUUAAAAAAGAUUUCACUCUGUCUUAACCUACAAAAAUUAACAUCAUAUGUAAUAAUCACUUUGUUAAACUUUUAGUUAUAACUCUUCAAGGACAAGUCAUUUAUUGUCAGAUGCACAGAACAACACAGGGUCAGACUGGGCACUGAAAUUCUUUGGACAAGACAACGCAAAGCAACCUGGCAUAACAUGACAUAUAAGUACUCACAACUCUUUUAUGUGUUAUAAAUUUGGGUUUACAAUAAACUUGGAUUUCACCUUUAUUAACCAAUAAUGGUGGUACCUACAUGUAUGAACACCUGUACGUGAUAAACACUUUGUUAAACAUUUACUUCUAACUUGGGUUUUUGGAAUUGGGAAUUUGGGUUUACAAUAAACCUGUGUUGUGAACCCAGUUUCAAGACUUCAGUCCACCAUUUCUUGAACCUGAGAGCGAUGAAUGACAUGGUAGUUUGAUGAUGGGGUCUUUCUCAAACAGCUGCAUGUAGAUCCUUCUAGAUUCACUGUCACCAGACAAACUUGUGGCUGGGAUCUAAUAUAUAAGGAUAUUUGAUUUCAUA